ACUCCUACGGGAGGCAGCAGUGGGGAAUAUUGGACAAUGGGCGCAAGCCUGAUCCAGCCAUGCCGCGUGAGUGAUGAAGGCCCUAGGGUUGUAAAGCUCUUUCACCGGUGAAGAUAAUGACGGUAACCGGAGAAGAAGCCCCGGCUAACUUCGUGCCAGCAGCCGCGGUAAUACGAAGGGGGCUAGCGUUGUUCGGAUUUACUGGGCGUAAAGCGCACGUAGGCGGACUAUUAAGUCAGGGGUGAAAUCCCGGGGCUCAACCCCGGAACUGCCUUUGAUACUGGUAGUCUUGAGUUCGAGAGAGGUGAGUGGAAUUCCGAGUGUAGAGGUGAAAUUCGUAGAUAUUCGGAGGAACACCAGUGGCGAAGGCGGCUCACUGGCUCGAUACUGACGCUGAGGUGCGAAAGCGUGGGGAGCAAACAGGAUUAGAUACCCGUGUAGUCCCAUG
rnacentral:rRNA from 1 species